rnacentral:rRNA from 1 species
UCAUAACGACUUUCGGCAACGGAUAUCUCGGCUCUCGCAUCGAUGAAGAACGUAGCGAAAUGCGAUACUUGGUGUGAAUUGCAGGAUCCCGUGAAUCAUCGAGUCUUUGAACGCAAGUUGCGCCNNAAGCCANUAGGCUAAGGGCACGCCUGCCUGGGCGUCAC